rnacentral:rRNA from 1 species
UUCCGGUUGAUCCUGCCGGACCCGACUGCUAUUUGGGUGAGGAUAAGCCAUGCGAGUUGGAUGGGAUACCUAAACUUCCCAUAGCAAACUGCUUAGUAACACAUGAUCAACUUGCCCUAUGGAGAAAAAUAACCUCGGGAAACUGAGGAUAAUGUUUCAUAGUUGAAUAGGCUUGGAAAAGUUUUUCAAUGAAAGGAAUAAGAUAAAUGGUUCUUAUUUGCCAUAGGAUAGGAUCGUGGUCGAUUAUGGUAGUUGGUGAGAUAACGGCUCACCAAGCCGAUAAUCGAUAGGGGCCGUGAGAGCGGGAGCCCCAAGAUGGGUACUGAGACAGCGACCCAGGCCUUACGAGGCGCAGCAGGCGCGAGACCUCCGCAAUACACGAAAGUGUGACGGGGUUACCCAAAGUGUUCUCUUAAGAACUGUGGCAGGUGAGUAAUGUCCCCUGCUAGAAAGGAGAGGGCAAGGCUGGUGCCAGCCGCCGCGGUAAAACCAGCUCUUCAAGUGGUCGGGAUAAUUAUUGGGCUUAAAGUGUCCGUAGCCGGUUUAGUAAGUUCCUGGUAAAAUCGGGUAGCUUAACUAUCUGCAUGCUAGGAAUACUGCUAUACUAGAGGGCGGGAGAGGUCUGAGGUACUACAGGGGUAGGGGUGAAAUCUUAUAAUCCUUGUAGGACCACCAGUGGCGAAGGCGUCAGACUGGAACGCGCCUGACGGUGAGGGACGAAAGCCAGGGGAGCGAACCGGAUUAGAUACGUCGGUGCUAGAAAAAUAAAAUAACUAACACCAUGCUAAAAACCCGGGUAGUCCUGGCCGUAAACGAUGCAUACUAGGUGAUGGUACGGCCAUGAGCCGUAUCAGUGCCGUAGGGAAACCGUUAAGUGUGCCGCCUGGGAAGUACGGUCGCAAGGCUAAAACUUAAAGGAAUUGGCGGGGGAGCACCACAAGGGGUGAAGCCUGCGGUUCAAUUGGAUUCAACGCCGGA